rnacentral:rRNA from 1 species
UGGGGAAUCUUGGACAAUGGGGGCAACCCUGAUCCAGCCAUGCCGCGUGAGUGAUGAAGGCCUUAGGGUCGUAAAGCUCUUUCGCCUGUGAAGAUAAUGACGGUAGCAGGUAAAGAAACCCCGGCUAACUCCGUGCCAGCAGCCGCGGUAAUACGGAGGGGGUUAGCGUUGUUCGGAAUUACUGGGCGUAAAGCGCACGUAGGCGGACCAGAAAGUUGGGGGUGAAAUCCCGGGGGCUCAACCCCGGAACUGCCUCCAAAACUAUUGGUCUAGAGUUCGAGAGAGGUGAGUGGAAUUCCAAGUGUAGAGGUGAAAUUCGUAGAUAUUCGGAGGAACACCAGUGGCGAAGGCGGCUGUCUGGACCAGUUCUGACGCUGAGGCGCGAAAGCGUGGGGAGCAAACAGGAUUAGAUACCCUGGUAGUCCACGCCGUAAAACGAUGAGUGCUAGUCGUCGGCAGGCAUGCCUGUCGGUGACGCAGCUAACGCAUUAAGCACUCCGCCUGGGGAGUACGGCCGCAGGUUAAAACUCAAAUGAAUUG